UACACGACCGUACCGCAAACCGACACUGGUGCGCGAGAUGAGUAUUCUAAGGCGCUUGAGAGAACUCAGGAGAAGGAACUCGGCAAAUUGACACCGUAACUUCGGAAGAAGGUGUGCCUUUAGUAGGUGAACCAUUUACUUGGGGAGCCCAAUGAGGCUGCAAAAAAUCGGUGGCUGCAACUGUUUAUUAAAAACACAGCACUCUGCUAAGACGAAAGUCGACGUAUAGGGUGUGACGCCUGCCCGGUGCUGGAAGAUUAAAUGAUGGGGUGCAAGCUCUUGAUUGAAGUCCCAGUAAACGGCGGCCGUAACAAUAACGGUCCUAAGGUAGCGAAAUUCCUUGUCGGGUAAGUUCCGACCUGCACGAAUGGCGUAAUGAUGGCCACACUGUCUCCUCCUGAGACUCAGCGAAGUUGAAAUGUUUGUGAUGAUGCAAUCUCCCCGCGGAAAGACGGAAAGACCCCAUGAACCUUUACUGUAGCUUUGUAUUGGACUUUGAACAGAUCUGUGUAGGAUAGGUGGGAGGCUUUGAAGUGUGGUCGCUAGAUCGCAUGGAGCCAACGUUGAAAUACCACCCUGGUGUGUUUGAGGUUCUAACCUAGGUCCAUUAUCUGGAUCGGGGACAGUGCAUGGUAGGCAGUUUGACUGGGGCGGUCUCCUCCCAAAGUGUAACGGAGGAGUUCGAAGGUACGCUAGGUACGGUCGGACAUCGUGCUAAUAGUGCAAUGGCAUAAGCGUGCUUAACUGCGAGACUGACAAGUCGAGCAGAUGCGAAAGCAGGACAUAGUGAUCCGGUGGUUCUGUAUGGAAGGGCCAUCGCUCAACGGAUAAAAGGUACUCUGGGGAUAACAGGCUGAUACCGCCCAAGAGUUCAUAUCGACGGCGGUGUUUGGCACCUCGAUGUCGGCUCAUCUCAUCCUGGGGCUGUAGCCGGUCCCAAGGGUAUGGCUGUUCGCCAUUUAAAGAGGUACGUGAGCUGGGUUUAAAACGUCGUGAGACAGUUUGGUCCCUAUCUUCCGUGGGCGCUGCAGAUUUGAGGAAGCCUGCUCCUAGUACGAGAGGACCGGAGUGGACGAACCUCUGGUGUAUCGGUUGUCAUGCCAGUGGCAUUGCCGAGUAGCUAAGUUCGGAAGAGAUAACCGCUGAAAGCAUCUAAGCGGGAAACUCGUUUCAAGAUUAGAUCUGCCGGGGCCUUGAGCCCCCUAAAGAGUCGUUCAAGACCAGGACGUUGAUAGGUCAGGUGUGGAA
rnacentral:rRNA from 1 species